UGCGACGUAGGAAAUCGGAUUGCUGCGAAAUUUGGUUUGGUGGUUAGUAGACUUCUUGGAGAUUUCGUGGUGCCAAUUUGACAAUAUUUGAUUGAUGUUAGUUUGGUCAAAUUACUAUUUUUCUGAACUGUUGAUGUAUUUGGGCUGAAAUUGAGAUUUCUUGUGUUUUCUGGAUCAAACCUUUGAGGAAGCUGGAAUUCAGACCAGAGACGUGUUUUCAUCACUCUUUACUGGUUUUGGGACUUUACUUUACCUGAAUUGGAGAUUGGAAGGUGAAGUUGACAUUGAAAUUGAAGAAAAUUAAGCUUAAAUGCUGAAUUUUGGUAUAUUAAUGAAAUUUUGGUGUUUUUGUGUUUUAAUUCUAUUAGAAGAUUGUUGGUUCUAGGC
rnacentral:lncRNA from 1 species